UAACCUUCCGAAAGGAGGGCUAAUACCGCAUAACACCUCGGAACACAAGUUCUGGGGUUGAAUCGACUGAUGUGCUCGAAGAGGGGUCCGCGCCUGAUUAGCUAGUUGGUGAGGUAACGGCUCACCAAGGCUUCGAUCAGUAGCCGUCCUGAGAGGGAGCACGGCCACACUGG
rnacentral:rRNA from 1 species